GGGUGAUAGUGGAUGGGAAUGAUCAUUCUAUUGCCACCCUAACAACCUGACACUCUGUCCUUGUUCCACAAUCCAAAACGGAGUCUGGAUUAUGAUAAUGAAGGCAAUCAAAUGAUGGGGAAGGUGGCCUCAAGCCCCUCUGCUCAGUCUCAGGAGGAGUCUGAUGCCAGUGUCUGCACCUCUAAAUGGAUCUAGAAAAUUUGCCCUCUGGGUGGAAUCUAUCAAGCCUCAAGAGAAGCCAGUGUCUGCCAUGCUGGGCUGUCAGAGUGACCUGCUCGCUCUAGGAGGUGAUGGGGAUCCCCUCAUUCCUAGCCUUCCUUGCUGCCAGGAGGAACCGAGCUCACUGCACGCCCUGGCAUCCUUGGGGCCACAUGCUACUGUGGACAGCUCUGCUCUUCCUGGCUCCUGUUGCUGGGAAACCUGAUCUCCCAAAAGCUGUGCUGAGCAUCCAGCCUGCGUGGAUCAAUGUGCUCAGGGAGGAUCGUGUGACGCUGAUGUGCCAGGGGACCAGCUUCUACGAAGGCAACCUCACCAUGUGGUUUCAUAACGGGAGCUCCAUCCACACCCAGAACCAGCCCAGCUACAGCUUUCAGGCCGGCAGCAAUGACAGUGGAUCCUACAGGUGCCAGAGGGAGCAGACCAGCCUCAGCGACCCUGUGCAUCUGGAUGUGAUUUCUGACUGGCUGCUGCUCCAGACCCCCAGCCUCGUGUUCCAGGAGGGGGAGCCCAUUCUGCUGAGGUGCCACAGCUGGAGAAACCACCCUCUGAAUAAGAUCACGUUCUACCAGGAUGGGAAAUCCAAGACAUUUUCCUACCUGCGUUCCAACUUCUCUAUCCCACGUGCCAACUUCAGUCACAGUGGCAAGUACCACUGCACAGCGUUUAUUGGGAAGACGCCACACUCGUCACAGCCAGUGAACAUCACUGUCCAAGAGUCCAGCUCCAGCGACCCCUCAUCAGCGAUGACAGUUGUGGCUAUAGGCGCUUGUUUUGGUGCUGUGGCUAUUGUUGCUGCCGUAGUAGCCUGGCUCCGCCUCAGGAGAAAGCCAAUUUCAGAAGUUGGAGCAUGGCAUACAGGGACUCGUUGUGUCCUGGAGAUGAAUGAAGACACUAGAUGUAUUGUCUCAGACUCCUUCCCCACUUCCUGAGGAAUGCUGCUUUGCAGAUGCUGAGCUGCUUUCCGCACUGGCAAACCGGUCUCAAUGAUGCUGAAGCUGAUGCUGCCAGAACUGAGGCUGAGAAUACAGUCACCUAUUCACUCCUCUCGCACCCGGACAUUGCAGAGGAAGACACAGAGUCUGAUUACCAGAAACACCUUUAGUUUUCGUGGUCUUGCCUGGGACUUGGGGGGUGAAUCGGAGAGGCCAGGAUCUGGUGUCUUCUGGCCUGAACUCCUCUUAGGGAGGAGAAGAAGAUACUGCAGUUCUAAAGAAAGAGAAUGACUUUUCCGGAGUUAGCUCCUCUGAGUCCUGAAGCUCCCUGUUCUGACAUUCACAGAUGACACAGCCUCAGAUAACUGACCGCUGACUUAUUCCUUGCCUCAGCACUUCUCAUCAUCAGGACUCUUCUAUUAUACAUUCACACAGCCAGUGUAAGUUACUUUCAUUAAGAGAUUGCAGCAACAUGGAAAUACGUUACAGGUUAUAUGAGAAAAAUUAGAUAAACAUGGAUGAUUUCAGAAAUCUUGAAAUAGACUAACAUAUGCCAAUAUAUUAAAAGUGAUUGUUUCUGGGGAUGGAAUUAUUGGUGCUUUUCAUUUGCUUUGUUAAUUCUUCUGUACAGACCAUAUAUUACUUUUAUAAUAAAAUACUACACAAACAACA